rnacentral:rRNA from 1 species
GUGGGGAAUUUUUCGCAAUGGGCGAAAGCCUGACGAAGCAACGCCGCGUGGAGGAUGAAGGCCCUCGUGGUCGUAAACUCCUGUCUAGCGGGACGAAAGCAUCCGGGGUGAAUAAUCCCGGGUGUUGACUGUACCGCUGGAGGAAGCUCCGGCCAACUCCGUGCCAGCAGCCGCGGUAAUACGGAGGGAGCAAGCGUUACUCGGAAUUAUUGGGCGUAAAGGGCGCGUAGGCGAUUCGACAAGUCAACUGUGAAAGCCCAGGGCCUAACCCUGGAAGUGCAGCUGAUACUGUCGGAUUUGAGUUCCGGAGAGGAAGGCAGAAUUCCCGGUGUAGCGGUGAAAUGCGUAGAUAUCGGGAGGAAUACCAGUGGCGAAGGCGGCCUUCUGGACGGAUACUGACGCUGAGGCGCGAAAGCCAGGGGAGCAAACGGGAUUAGAAACCCGAGUAGUCC